UACGAAGGGGGCUAGCGUUGCUCGGAAUCACUGGGCGUAAAGCGCACGUAGGCGGCUUUCUAAGUCAGGGGUGAAAUCCUGGAGCUCAACUCCAGAACUGCCUUUGAUACUGGGAAGCUCGAGUCCGGAAGAGGUGAGUGGAACUGCGAGUGUAGAGGUGAAAUUCGUAGAUAUUCGCAAGAACACCAGUGGCGAAGGCGGCUCGCUGGGACGGUACUGACGCUAAGGCGCGAAAAGCGUGGGGGAGCGAACAGG
rnacentral:rRNA from 1 species